rnacentral:rRNA from 1 species
AGUGAACGCUGGCGGUAGGCCUAACACAUGCAAGUCGAACGGCAGCACAGUAAGAGCUUGCUCUUACGGGUGGCGAGUGGCGGACGGGUGAGGAAUACAUCGGAAUCUACUUUUUCGUGGGGGAUAACGUAGGGAAACUUACGCUAAUACCGCAUACGACCUACGGGUGAAAGCAGGGGAUCUUCGGACCUUGCGCGAUUGAAUGAGCCGAUGUCGGAUUAGCUAGUUGGCGGGGUAAAGGCCCACCAAGGCGACGAUCCGUAGCUGGCCUGAGAGGAUGAUCAGCCACACUGGAACUGAGACACGGUCCAGGCUCCUACGGGAGGCAGCAGUGGGGAAUAUUGGACAAUGGGCGCAAGCCUGAUCCAGCCAUACCGCGUGGGUGAAGAAGGCCUUCGGGUUGUAAAGCCCUUUUGUUGGGAAAGAAAAGCAGCAGGUUAAUACCCCGCUGUUCUGACGGUACCCAAAGAAUAAGCACCGGCUAACUUCGUG